UACGUAGGGUGCAAGCGUUAUCCGGAAUUAUUGGGCGUAAAGAGCUCGUAGGCGGUUUGUCACGUCUGCUGUGAAAACUGGAGGCUCAACCUCCAGCCUGCAGUGGGUACGGGCAGACUAGAGUGCGGUAGGGGAGAUUGGAAUUCCUGGUGUAGCGGUGGAAUGCGCAGAUAUCAGGAAGAACACCCGUGGCGAAAGCGGCUCUCUGGAACGGUACUGACGCUGAGACGCGAAAGCGUGGGGAGCGAACAGG
rnacentral:rRNA from 1 species